rnacentral:rRNA from 1 species
AUUGAACGCUGGCGGAAUGCUUUACACAUGCAAGUCGAACGGUAGAGGGGGCAACCCCUCGAGAGUGGCGAACGGGUGAGUAAUAUAUCGGAACGUGCCCAGUCGUGGGGGAUAACGGAGCGACAGUUACGCUAAUACCGCAUACGAUCAAAGGAUGAAAGCGGGGGAUCGCAAGACCUCGCGUGAUUGGAGCGGCCGAUAUCAGAUUAGGUAGUUGGUGGGGUAAAGGCUCACCAAGCCAACGAUCUGUAGCUGGUCUGAGAGGACGACCAGCCGCACUGGAACUGAGACACGGUCCAGGCUCCUACGGGAGGCAGCAGUGGGGAAUUUUGGACAAUGGGCGCAAGUCUGAUCCAGCCAUUCCGCGUGCAGGAUGAAGGCCCUCGGGUUGUAAACUGCUUUUGUACGGAACGAAAAGGUCUCUCUUAAUACGGGGGACUCAUGACGGUACCGUAAGAAUAAGCACCGGCUAACUACGUGCCAGCAGCCGCAGUAAUAC